rnacentral:rRNA from 1 species
GAUGAACGCUGGCGGCGUGCUUAAUACAUGCAAGUCGAGCGAAUGGAUUGAGAGCUUGCUCUUAUGAAGUUAGCGGCGGACGGGUGAGUAACACGUGGGUAACCUGCCCAUAAGACUGGGAUAACUCCGGGAAACCGGGGCUAAUACCGGAUAACAUUUUGAACCGCAUGGUUCGAAAUUGAAAGGCGGCUUCGGCUGUCACUUAUGGAUGGACCCGAGUCGCAUUAGCUAGUUGGUGAGGUAACGGCUCACCAAGGCAACGAUGCGUAGCCGACCUGAGAGGGUGAUCGGCCACACUGGGACUGAGACACGGCCCAGACUCCUACGGGAGGCAGCAGUAGGGAAUCUUCCGCAAUGGACGAAAGUCUGACGGAGCAACGCCGCGUGAGUGAUGAAGGCUUUCGGGUCGUGAAACUCUGUUGUUAGGGAAGAACAAGUGCUAGUUGAAUAAGCUGGCACCUUGACGGUACCUAACCAGAAAGCCACGGCUAACUACGUGCCAGCAGCCGCAGUAA